AUUGAACGCUAGCGGGAUGCCUUACACAUGCAAGUCGAACGGCUUGGCGAACGGGUGAGUAAUGUAUCGGAACGUGCCCCUUCGCGGUGGAUAACUACGCGAAAGCGUAGCUAAUACCGCUUACUCUUGGAGCGGCCGAUAUCGGAUUAGCACGGGGGUGGGGUAACGGCUAACCAAGGCGACGAGCCGUAGCUGGUUUGAGAGGACGACCAGCAACACUGGAACUGAGACACGGCCCAGACUCCUACGGGAGGCAGCAGUGGGGAAUUUUGGACAAUGGGGGAAACCCUGAUGCAGCCAUCCCGCGUGUGUGAUGAAGGCCUUCGGGUUGUAAAGCACUUUUGGCAGGAAAGCGGUACCUGCAGAAUAAGCACCGGCUAACUACGUGCCAGCAGCCGCGGUAAUUC
rnacentral:rRNA from 1 species